ACUCAGAAUAAAUGAAAAUUUGUUGCAACAUCUCGCACCCGAUGGCUCCACACGAAUCUCGGGAGCGGCCGCCCGCCCUCGAUUCCUUCUCCCCACACCACGCGAUCGCGCCGCGGUCGCGAAGAAACCUCCCCUUUCCGUCUUCCCCAAGCCACCUUUCCCGUGACGGCACUUAGACCUGAAGGAUCGGACCGUCGAUCGAUCGAUCGAUCGUUGUGGAGGAGGAGGAGGAGGAAGAGGGUUUCCGCACCGCAGCGUUGGCCGAGAUAAGUUUUCGCCUCGUUCCUUUUUCUCGUAAUCUCCGUGAAACUGUUAGGGCUGCGUUGAUUCCUAAGGCGCUUCGAGUAGAUCUCAUCUCCGUUAGCAUUUGGUGGUUGUUUUGGUUGGUUAGAGAAGGAGAGGUGGACUCCCUGUCGCAGGAUUAGGGUUUCUCUACCUCCUUGAUAAUUGGAAAUGGGCAAGCCUACUGCAAAGAAAACCAAGGGUUCAGGCAGGAGAGUUACUAAUCCCAAAUCCAAGCAUAACAGAUCGAGCGAGCACGCUCCUACAAUCUUCCAAGAAGACACGCAAGUCUUUGUCCAUAUGGCGCAGGGUUUGAAAGAGGAGGGCAACAGAUUGUUCCAUUCAAGGGGCUAUGAAGGGGCUCUGGUCAAGUAUGAGAAUGCUAUCAAGUUGCUUCCGAAGAACCAUGCCGACCCAGUGUACCGCCACUACAACAGGGCUGCUUGUUAUAUGCAGUUGACUCCGGGCCUCCGGCGGACCAUCCCCGAGCAAUAACGGAGUGUGAUCUAGCCCUCGAGGCAUCGCCAAAGUACAUUAAAGUCCUACUUAGAAGGGGGAGGUGUUAAGGAUUUGAAUCAAUUAGAAUUGGCAUGUAAAUAUAUCGAUCUCGCUUUGCAUUGGGAACCAAAUAACCUGAAUGCCUUGGCAUUGUCUGAAAGGUUGAAGAAAGCGAUGGAGACGAAUGGCACGGUGGUGGAUGGUAUUGCAGCUCUUUUGCCUCCGGAUGCUGCAGUAGUUAGUUCAAAGAAGAAUAGGAAGAAGAAUCGAAAAGCAUAGGAGAAGACAUCUGAAGAACCUAUGAAAGGGGUGAAGUUAGUCGCAUCUGAGGGAGACCGUGGGUAAAAAAUUUCCGAACCUGAAGGCCGUCCUCCUCAAGUACAAGGAUAAGGAGGGUGAUUUCGUGACAAUCACGACGUCGGAAGAGCUAAGGUGGCUGAAGAAUCUGCAGACCCUCAAGGCUCGGUCAGGCUUUAUCUAACAGAAGUUAGUCCUGAGCAUGAACCUUGGCUGGAGGAUGUUAGAGGCGACAGAAUGAAGCACAACAUUUCAGAAAAUGGAAGCAUCCAAAAAGAGGAAGUGAAAACAUGACCUAGUUGCCUGGAUCUUAGGUUUGGCCUUCAAGAUCGAUGAGAUAGUUCAGGUGUUCCAUAUACGAUGAUAAAAAAUGGAUGAUUGAUGCCCCUUCUAUUCGUCGCGAGCCAUUGUUCCGUCGGAGAAUUCCUAAGUUGCAUAGUAUGUUGGAAAGUGCAUGUACUUGUUUUACCAGAAGCAGCCAGAAUUUGUGAGUAGUGAAGAUAAAAUGGUGGUGAUAGUUAUUUCUCUAUUGUCUGAGGUGCACACUAGUAAUAGGUUUUUUUAUUUGCUUGUUAUGUAGAUUUAUAUGUUGAUUGGUUAUAAUAGAUCAUUUGUAUUUAGACUUGUGGUUUAUGAACUAACUUGCUGCUCCCAUUUGGGCUCUC